GAUGAACGCUAGCGGCAGGCUUAAUACAUGCAAGUCGAGGGGCAGCAUAGGUGUAGCAAUACAUUUGAUGGCGACCGGCAAACGGGUGCGGAACACGUACACAACCUUCCGAUAAGUGGGGAAUAGCCCAGAGAAAUUUGGAUUAAUACCCCGUAACAUAUAGAGGUGGCAUCAUCUUUAUAUUAUAGCUACGGCGCUUAUUGAUGGGUGUGCGGCUGAUUAGAUAGUUGGCGGGGUAACGGCCCACCAAGUCUACGAUCAGUAGCUGAUGUGAGAGCAUGAUCAGCCACACGGGCACUGGGACACGGGCCCGACUCCUACGGGAGGCAGCAGUAAGGAAUAUUGGUCAAUGGACGCAAGUCUGAACCAGCCAUGCCGCGUGAAGGAUUAAGGUCCUCUGGAUUGUAAACUUCUUUUAUCUGGGACGAAAAAAGGCGAUUCUUCGUCACUUGACGGUACCAGAUGAAUAAGCACCGGCUAACUCCGUGCCAGCAGCCGCAGUAACAC
rnacentral:rRNA from 1 species